CAGGGAAUAUUGCACAAUGGGCGAAAGCCUGAUGCAGCAACGCCGCGUGAAGGAUGAAGGCCUUCGGGUCGUAAACUUCUUUUGUAGAGGACGAGAAGGGACGGUACUCUGCGAAUAAGACACGGCUAACUACGUGCCAGCAGCCGCGGUAAUACGUAGGUGUCGAGCGUUAUUCGGAUUUACUGGGCGUAAAGCGCACCGAGGUGGCUUCUUAAGUUGGAUGUGAAAUCUCCUGGCUUAACUGGGAGACGCCAUUCAAAACUGAGGAGCUUGAGGUCAGCAGGGGAAAGUGGAAUUCCCGGUGUAGUGGUGGAAUGCGUAGAGAUCGGGAGGAACACCAGUGGCGAAAGCGACUUUCUGGGCUGCACCUGACACUCUAGUGCGAAAGCGUGGGGAGCAAACAGG
rnacentral:rRNA from 1 species